rnacentral:rRNA from 1 species
UUGAACGCUGGCGGCAGGCCUAACACAUGCAAGUCGAACGGUAACAGGAAACAGCUUGCUGUUUCGCUGACGAGUGGCGGACGGGUGAGUAAUGUCUGGGAAACUGCCUGAUGGAGGGGGAUAACUACUGGAAACGGUAGCUAAUACCGCAUAACGUCGCAAGACCAAAGAGGGGGACCUUCGGGCCUCUUGCCAUCGGAUGUGCCCAGAUGGGAUUAGCUUGUUGGUGGGGUAACGGCUCACCAAGGCGACGAUCCCUAGCUGGUCUGAGAGGAUGACCAGCCACACUGGAACUGAGACACGGUCCAGACUCCUACGGGAGGCAGCAGUGGGGAAUAUUGCACAAUGGGCGCAAGCCUGAUGCAGCCAUGCCGCGUGUAUGAAGAAGGCCUUCGGGUUGUAAAGUACUUUCAGCGGGGAGGAAGGGAGUAAAGUUAAUACCUUUGCUCAUUGACGUUACCCGCAGAAGAAGCACCGGCUAACUCCGUGCCAGCAGCCGCGGUAAUACGGAGGGUGCAAGCGUUAAUCGGAAUUACUGGGCGUAAAGCGCACGCAGGCGGUUUGUUAAGUCAGAUGUGAAAUCCCCGGGCUCAACCUGGGAACUGCAUCUGAUACUGGCAAGCUUGAGUCUCGUAGAGGGGGGUAGAAUUCCAGGUGUAGCGGUGAAAUGCGUAGAGAUCUGGAGGAAUACCGGUGGCGAAGGCGGCCCCCUGGACGAGGACUGACGCUCAGGUGCGAAAGCGUGGGGAGCAAACAGGAUUAGAUACCCUGGUAGUCCACGCCGUAAACGAUGAGUGCUAGGUGUUGGGUCCUUUCCGGGACUCAGUGCCGCAGCUAACGCAUUAAGCACUCCGCCUGGGGAGUACGACCGCAAGGUUGAAACUCAAAGGAAUUGACGGGGGCCCGCACAAGCGGUGGAGCAUGUGGUUUAAUUCGAUGCAACGCGAAGAACCUUACCUGGUCUUGACAUCCACGGAAGUUUUCAGAGAUGAGAAUGUGCCUUCGGGAACCGUGAGACAGGUGCUGCAUGGCUGUCGUCAGCUCGUGUUGUGAAAUGUUGGGUUAAGUCCCGCAACGAGCGCAACCCUUAUCCUUUGUUGCCAGCGGUCCGGCCGGGAACUCAAAGGAGACUGCCAGUGAUAAACUGGAGGAAGGUGGGGAUGACGUCAAGUCAUCAUGGCCCUUACGACCAGGGCUACACACGUGCUACAAUGGCGCAUACAAAGAGAAGCGACCUCGCGAGAGCAAGCGGACCUCAUAAAGUGCGUCGUAGUCCGGAUUGGAGUCUGCAACUCGACUCCAUGAAGUCGGAAUCGCUAGUAAUCGUGGAUCAGAAUGCCACGGUGAAUACGUUCCCGGGCCUUGUACACACCGCCCGUCACACCAUGGGAGUGGGUUGCAAAAGAAGUAGGUAGCUUAACCUUCGGGAGGGCGCUUACCACUUUGUGAUUCAUGACUGGGGUG